rnacentral:rRNA from 1 species
GGAUGAACGCUGGCGGCGUGCCUAAUACAUGCAAGUCGAACGAGUUCUCGUUGAUGAUCGGUGCUUGCACCGAGAUUCAACAUGGAACGAGUGGCGGACGGGUGAGUAACACGUGGGUAACCUGCCCUUAAGUGGGGGAUAACAUUUGGAAACAGAUGCUAAUACCGCAUAGAUCCAAGAACCGCAUGGUUCUUGGCUGAAAGAUGGCGUAAGCUAUCGCUUUUGGAUGGACCCGCGGCGUAUUAGCUAGUUGGUGAGGUAAUGGCUCACCAAGGCGAUGAUACGUAGCCGAACUGAGAGGUUGAUCGGCCACAUUGGGACUGAGACACGGCCCAAACUCCUACGGGAGGCAGCAGUAGGGAAUCUUCCACAAUGGACGCAAGUCUGAUGGAGCAACGCCGCGUGAGUGAAGAAGGCUUUCGGGUCGUAAAACUCUGUUGUUGGAGAAGAAUGGUCGGCAGAGUAACUGUUGUCGGCGUGACGGUAUCCAACCAGAAAGCCACGGCUAACUACGUGCCAGCAGCCGCGGUAAUACGUAGGUGGCAAGCGUUAUCCGGAUUUAUUGGGCGUAAAGCGAGCGCAGGCGGUUUUUUAAGUCUGAUGUGAAAGCCCUCGGCUUAACCGAGGAAGCGCAUCGGAAACUGGGAAACUUGAGUGCAGAAGAGGACAGUGGAACUCCAUGUGUAGCGGUGAAAUGCGUAGAUAUAUGGAAGAACACCAGUGGCGAAGGCGGCUGUCUGGUCUGUAACUGACGCUGAGGCUCGAAAGCAUGGGUAGCGAACAGGAUUAGAUACCCUGGUAGUCCAUGCCGUAAACGAUGAAUGCUAGGUGUUGGAGGGUUUCCGCCCUUCAGUGCCGCAGCUAACGCAUUAAGCAUUCCGCCUGGGGAGUACGACCGCAAGGUUGAACCUCAAAGGAAUUGACGGGGGCCCGCACAAGCGGUGGAGCAUGUGGUUUAAUUCGAAGCAACGCGAAGAACCUUACCAGGUCUUGACAUCUUUUGAUCACCUGAGAGAUCAGGUUUCCCCUUCGGGGGCAAAAUGACAGGUGGUGCAUGGUUGUCGUCAGCUCGUGUCGUGAGAUGUUGGGUUAAGUCCCGCAACGAGCGCAACCCUUAUGACUAGUUGCCAGCAUUUAGUUGGGCACUCUAGUAAGACUGCCGGUGACAAACCGGAGGAAGGUGGGGAUGACGUCAAAUCAUCAUGCCCCUUAUGACCUGGGCUACACACGUGCUACAAUGGAUGGUACAACGAGUUGCGAGACCGCGAGGUCAAGCUAAUCUCUUAAAGCCAUUCUCAGUUCGGACUGUAGGCUGCAACUCGCCUACACGAAGUCGGAAUCGCUAGUAAUCGCGGAUCAGCACGCCGCGGUGAAUACGUUCCCGGGCCUUGUACACACCGCCCGUCACACCAUGAGAGUUUGUAACACCCGAAGCCGGUGGCGUAACCCUUUUAGGGAGCGAGCCGUCUAAGGUGGGACAAAUGAU